GCACCGGUGGUGUAAGGCGAACAUCGCUGCCCGGAAAGCAGAAGAUGCGGGUUCGAGUCCGGCCUGGCGCA
rnacentral:tRNA from 1 species